rnacentral:rRNA from 1 species
CAUAGGUUAAUGAGGCGAACCGGGGGAACUGAAACAUCUAAGUACCCCGAGGAAAAGAAAUCAACCGAGAUUCCCCCAGUAGCGGCGAGCGAACGGGGAGGAGCCCAGAGCCUGAAUCAGUGUGUGUGUUAGUGGAAGCGUCUGGAAAGGCGCGCGAUACAGGGUGACAGCCCCGUACACAAAAAUGCACAUGCUGUGAGCUCGAUGAGUAGGGCGGGACACGUGGUAUCCUGUCUGAAUAUGGGGGGACCAUCCUCCAAGGCUAAAUACUCCUGACUGACCGAUAGUGAACCAGUACCGUGAGGGAAAGGCGAAAAGAACCCCGGCGAGGGGAGUGAAAAAGAACCUGAAACCGUGUACGUACAAGCAGUGGGAGCCUCUUAAUGGGGUGACUGCGUACCUUUUGUAUAAUGGGUCAGCGACUUAUAUUCUGUAGCAAGGUUAACCGAAUAGGGGAGCCGAAGGGAAACCGAGUCUUAACUGGGCGUUAAGUUGCAGGGUAUAGACCCGAAACCCGGUGAUCUAGCCAUGGGCAGGUUGAAGGUUGGGUAACACUAACUGGAGGACCGAACCGACUAAUGUUGAAAAAUUAGCGGAUGACUUGUGGCUGGGGGUGAAAGGCCAAUCAAACCGGGAGAUAGCUGGUUCUCCCCGAAAGCUAUUUAGGUAGCGCCUCGUGAAUUCAUCUCCGGGGGUAGAGCACUGUUUCGGCAAGGGGGUCAUCCCGACUUACCAACCCGAUGCAAACUGCGAAUACCGGAGAAUGUUAUCACGGGAGACACACGGCGGGUGCUAACGUCCGUCGUGAAGAGGGAAACAACCCAGACCGCCAGCUAAGGUCCCAAAGUCAUGGUUAAGUGGGAAACGAUGUGGGAAGGCCCAGACAGCCAGGAUGUUGGCUUAGAAGCAGCCAUCAUUUAAAGAAAGCGUAAUAGCUCACUGGUCGAGUCGGCCUGCGCGGAAGAUGUAACGGGGCUAAACCAUGCACCGAAGCUGCGGCAGCGACACUAUGUGUUGUUGGGUAGGGGAGCGUUCUGUAAGCCUGUGAAGGUGGCCUGUGAGGGUUGCUGGAGGUAUCAGAAGUGCGAAUGCUGACAUAAGUAACGAUAAAGCGGGUGAAAAGCCCGCUCGCCGGAAGACCAAGGGUUCCUGUCCAACGUUAAUCGGGGCAGGGUGAGUCGACCCCUAAGGCGAGGCCGAAAGGCGUAGUCGAUGGGAAACAGGUUAAUAUUCCUGUACUUGGUGUUACUGCGAAGGGGGGACGGAGAAGGCUAUGUUGGCCGGGCGACGGUUGUCCCGGUUUAAGCGUGUAGGCUGGUUUUCCAGGCAAAUCCGGAAAACCAAGGCUGAGGCGUGAUGACGAGGCACUACGGUGCUGAAGUGACAAAUGCCCUGCUUCCAGGAAAAGCCUCUAAGCAUCAGGUAACAUCAAAUCGUACCCCAAACCGACACAGGUGGUCAGGUAGAGAAUACCAAGGCGCUUGAGAGAACUCGGGUGAAGGAACUAGGCAAAAUGGUGCCGUAACUUCGGGAGAAGGCACGCUGAUAUGUAGGUGAAGCGACUUGCUCGUGGAGCUGAAAUCAGUCGAAGAUACCAGCUGGCUGCAACUGUUUAUUAAAAACACAGCACUGUGCAAACACGAAAGUGGACGUAUACGGUGUGACGCCUGCCCGGUGCCGGAAGGUUAAUUGAUGGGGUUAGCGGUAACGCGAAGCUCUUGAUCGAAGCCCCGGUAAACGGCGGCCGUAACUAUAACGGUCCUAAGGUAGCGAAAUUCCUUGUCGGGUAAGUUCCGACCUGCACGAAUGGCGUAAUGAUGGCCAGGCUGUCUCCACCCGAGACUCAGUGAAAUUGAACUCGCUGUGAAGAUGCAGUGUACCCGCGGCAAGACGGAAAGACCCCGUGAACCUUUACUAUAGCUUGACACUGAACAUUGAGCCUUGAUGUGUAGGAUAGGUGGGAGGCUUUGAAGUGUGGACGCCAGUCUGCAUGGAGCCGACCUUGAAAUACCACCCUUUAAUGUUUGAUGUUCUAACGUUGGCCCCUAAUCGGGGUUGCGGACAGUGUCUGGUGGGUAGUUUGACUGGGGCGGUCUCCUCCUAAAGAGUAACGGAGGAGCACGAAGGUUGGCUAAUCCUGGUCGGACAUCAGGAGGUUAGUGCAAUGGCAUAAGCCAGCUUGACUGCGAGCGUGACGGCGCGAGCAGGUGCGAAAGCAGGUCAUAGUGAUCCGGUGGUUCUGAAUGGAAGGGCCAUCGCUCAACGGAUAAAAGGUACUCCGGGGAUAACAGGCUGAUACCGCCCAAGAGUUCAUAUCGACGGCGGUGUUUGGCACCUCGAUGUCGGCUCAUCACAUCCUGGGGCUGAAGUAGGUCCCAAGGGUAUGGCUGUUCGCCAUUUAAAGUGGUACGCGAGCUGGGUUUAGAACGUCGUGAGACAGUUCGGUCCCUAUCUGCCG